GAACUGCUGCAUUAACUGGCGCACAAUCA
rnacentral:sRNA from 1 species